UUCCCGAUCUGACACUACCCCACUAAUGAAAUCCUAGCCGUCCAACUUGACUUGUCGGUUCACCCGCAUGCGCUGGAGAGAUCAUUCUCAUUCGUUUAACCUAGUGGAGUGGAGUGGAGAGUAGCUUGAAACGCUUUGCUUACAGUCCUAUAUAUACACCUAUACAUACAUACAUAGAGGCAAAGCAAACCCUAAUCGGCCAAUCUCAGAGAUAAGCUGAAGGGAAAGGGGGGGCUCCAGUUCCUUUAUUCAGGCCCAGGGAUUAGUUUUCUUAUGCUGUUUGUUAUUUUCCUUGAAUAGUAGUAAAAAGGUGUGAUUUUUUUUUAAGUUCAGAGUGCUGUUUUUGUUGGUUAAUUAUUACUGUAUUUAGAAAAGACUCAUCUUUUUUUGUCUUCAAUUCGUUCUGUUGGUGUACUCUAAUCUGUAUAUUCGUUGCUGAUUUUCAUUGAUUGUGGUGGGAUUUGCAUAUGCCUAUGCCUAUGAUGGGUACAAAUAUACUUCGAGUAUAUCACUAUGAAACUUAACUUUACCUGAGGCUUUGAGGUAUUUCCACCAAAUUUAAUUUCUUUUCUUUUUUUGGCUUCGGAUUUGGACUGAAUUUCUUAUUUUAUUUGGUCAAUUUGGUGUGGCAAUUGGGUUUUUUUUUCCCGUUAAAUACUUUCAACAGUAUUCCAAAAUAGGUCUGUCAAUCAAUGGACUGGAUUCGAUCCAAAUCUGAAUCCAAAAAUUUCGGUACCGUUUAUUCAUUUACAAAAUUUCCUGCAAGUUAUUUUUGUGGCUUCUCUGUUUAUAAUUCCACAUUGUGUGCAUAAUUAAUUUAGUCUUUGGGUUUUGAAAUCUCUCUGGGUUAUUUAGAAUGAAGUUUAACUGUAAAACUUUUGGAAUUGGAAUUGGAUUUACGGUGCCAAUGAUGGUUUUAAUGUAUCUUUGAGUGUCUACUAUGAAAACAACUUAAACUGAGGCACCCGUUCGGACAUAGAACAUGAAUCAUGGUCCUUUUUUUCUCGAUGCUGAAUUUCUCACUUAAUCAAAUUCCUUUGUCGAAGUUCGUAGCAAAAAAUUUGUUUUUAGCAUGUGAUGUGUUUGUGCAAGUGACGAUGAAACAGACGAGGACAUCAGCACCUCCAUAUUGGAGAAUGAUGAUUUGUCUUCGGGAAUCUCUCUGAUGCACUUACUCCUAUUAGACUUCAUUUUUUUCCAGUAUUCUUGCGUAUUCUAUUGACAACUUUGUCGCAUGUCGCCUUCUUCAAAGCUUGCAUUUUGCGAAUGCAUUUUGGGUUUAUUUACUUGGGUUUUUCGUGGUUAUGUUGUACUCCAUUAAACAACAUACUUGUUCUCAAUAUUUGUUUCAAUCCCUUUUAAUGAUUAAUUCCGAACUUGUUUUAUGUA